UCAGUGGCCUAAGUGGUUAGAGCGUCCGCUUUGGAUGCGGGAGGUCGCGAGUUUGAACCCAGGACCAGUAAAA